GGGGGAGUAUGGUCGCAGGGCUUAAACUUAAAGAAAUUGAUGGAAGGGCACACCAAGAGUAGAGCCUACGACUUAAUUUGACUCAACACGAGAAAACUUACCAAGUCCAGACAUAGUAAGGAUUGAAAAACUGAGAGAUCUUUCUAGAUUCUAUGGGUAGUGGUGCAUGGACGUUCUUAGUUGGUGGAGCGAUUUGCCUAGUUAAUUAUAUUAAUGAACGAGACCUCAGCCUGCUAACUAGCUAUGCAGAGGUAUUCCUUUGCGACCAACUUGUUGAAGGGACUACGACCUUUUAAGCCGCGGAAGCUUGAGGCAAUAGUAGGUCUAUGAUGCCCUUAGAUGUUCUGGGCCGCACGCGCGCUAGACUGAUGUAUUUAAUGAGUUUAUAGCCUUAGCCUACAGGCCCGGAUAAUCUUUGAAUUUUUAUCGUGAUGGCGAUAGAUUAUUACAAUUAUUGGUCUUCAAUGAGGAAUUCCUAGUAAACGUGAGUCAUCAACGCACGUUAACUACGUCUCUGCCCUUUAUACACACCGCCCGUCGCUCCUACUGAUUAAAUGAUCCGAUAAAAUAUUUGGAUUGCGGUGACAUGGAUGGUUCCCUACCCGCAAUGUUGUGAGAAGUCCAUUGAGCCUUAUCAUUUAAAAGUAGAAGUCGUAACAAGGUUUUCAUAGGUAAACCUGCGAAAU
rnacentral:ncRNA from 1 species